rnacentral:rRNA from 1 species
UACCAGCACGCAAUGGUGGCACUCUAAGAAGACUGCCGGUGCAAACCGAAGAAAGUUGGGAUGACGUCAAGUCAUCAAUGGCCCUUCGGGCCUGGGCUACACACGUGCUCCAAUGGCGGUACAGAGGGUUGCCAAGCCGCGAGGUGGAGCUAAUCCCACAAAACCGAUCGUAGUCCGGAUCGCAGUCUGCAACUCGACUGCGUGAAGUCGGAAUCGGCUAGUAAUCGCGAAUCAGAAUGUCGCGGUGAAUACGUUCCCGGGCCUUGUACACACCGCCCGUCACUACCAUGGGAGUGGGUUGCACCAGAAGUAGCUAGUCUAACCUUCGGGAGGACGGUUACCACGGUGUGAUUCAUGACUGGGGUGAAGUCGUAACAAAGGUAACC